GACGAACGCUGGCGGCGUGCUUAACACAUGCAAGUCGAACGGAAAGGCCCUGCUUGCAGGGUACUCGAGUGGCGAACGGGUGAGUAACACGUGGGUGAUCUGCCCUGCACUUCGGGAUAAGCCUGGGAAACUGGGUCUAAUACCGGAUAGGAGCCAUUUUUAGUGUGAUGGUUGGAAAGUUCUUUCGGUGUAGGAUGAGCUCGCGGCCUAUCAGCUUGUUGGUGGGGUAAUGGCCUACCAAGGCGGCGACGGGUAGCCGGCCUGAGAGGGUGGACGGCCACAUUGGGACUGAGAUACGGCCCAGACUCCUACGGGAGGCAGCAGUGGGGAAUAUUGCACAAUGGGCGCAAGCCUGAUGCAGCGACGCCGCGUGGGGGAUGACGGCCUUCGGGUUGUAAACUCCUUUCGCUAGGGACGAAGCUUUUUGUGACGGUACCUAGAUAAGAAGCACCGGCUAACUACGUG
rnacentral:rRNA from 1 species